GAGUAACACGUGGAGAACCUGCCCCCUCCCCUGGGAUAGCCGCCCGAAAGGACGGGUAAUACCGGAUACCCCGGGGCGCCGCAUGGCGCCCGGGCUAAAGCCCCGACGGGAGGGGAUGGCUCCGCGGCCCAUCAGGUAGACGGCGGGGUGACGGCCCACCGUGCCGACAACGGGUAGCCGGGUUGAGAGACCGACCGGCCAGAUUGGGACUGAGACACGGCCCAGACUCCUACGGGAGGCAGCAGUGGGGAAUCUUGCGCAAUGGGGGGAACCCUGACGCAGCGACGCCGCGUGCGGGACGGAGGCCUUCGGGUCGUAAACCGCUUUCAGCAGGGAAGAGUCAAGACUGUACCUGCAGAAGAAGCCCCGGCUAACUACGUGCCAGCAGCCGCGGUAAUACGUAGGGGGCGAGCGUUAUCCGGAUUCAUUGGGCGUAAAGCGCGCGUAGGCGGCCCGGCAGGCCGGGGGUCGAAGCGGGGGGCUCAACCCCCCGAAGCCCCCGGAACCUCCGCGGCUUGGGUCCGGUAGGGGAGGGUGGAACACCCGGUGUAGCGGUGGAGUGCGCAGAUAUCGGGUGGAACACCGGUGGCGAAGGCGGCCCUCUGGGCCGAGACCGACGCUGAGGCGCGAAAGCUGGGGGAGCGAACAGGAUUAGAUACCCUGGUAGUCCCAGCCGUAAACGAUGGACGCUAGGUGUGGGGGGACGAUCCCCCCGUGCCGCAG
rnacentral:rRNA from 1 species